UCUUCAUUUUACGUGCUCUCUCGCCGGUCAGAGAAGCGAGAGAGUGUGUGGAAUGAAGAGA
rnacentral:pre_miRNA from 1 species